ensembl:lncRNA
CGUUUACCGUUAGCUGCGUUAGCAAGAAUGCUCAACGAUAUUUUGUAUUUUUGUAAAGUUGUCUAUUGUAUUAAAACCAGUCAGGAAGGGAAUUAGAAAAGGUUGUUUUUUUUGGAUAGCUCCAUGACUGGAACCAGAAGUACUGUCCGGUCUGCCACCACAUCUUCAUCCAUCCACCACCAAGAGGACCCUCACAUCGGACGUCACAGUGCGCCUGGAGUCCCUUUGACUUGACUUUGGUUGUGCACAGAAGGGUGGUAGGACACUUUUUUUUUUGGACGAUACUCCUUCUUUUAUACAUUUUUUCCCGAUCGAACUUAUUCCUGAGAUCUCAGAGGUUUUCUUUAUUUUUUAUAUUAACUGCUUGGACAUUCUUUUGAUGUGUGGAAUCGUGCAUUUGCUGCAGAAAUGAUUGUCUAAUUGUGUUAUAAAUAAAUCUGUUGUGUUAAGUGUAA